CUUGAUACCAUACUGCAAUUGCAUGGCAACAUGCAUAGACAGUAGUUAAAGAAGCUUUAAGCCUCUAAAAUAAAAUGACCGACAGCAAACAUGUAGCAUACAUGAAAUCAUAAAAAUAAUAAUUAAAAAGUAAUAAAGUAAUUUAGCAACCUUGCUUGCAUGCUUGCAUGAAAUUUCAUGUUAGUAGCUACAUUACUUGCAUAUUUCAAGUUGUAUAUAAUGCAUUGAGAAAAAGAUACUGUUAGAGAAGAACAGCAAUUACACAAUUUUUAUCCUAGAAAGAAUCGCUCAUAAGCAUGAAGGCAAUUCACUUAAUUAAAGUUAUGGGGAUUGAUAUAAUAAUCCCUAGUCGUCUCAUGAAGAAUUUGGGCUCACAAAAAGCAGAGUGAAGGAGAAAGAUUCAUGUAGCUCAAUUCAGCUAGUUGGAGAUUCAGGUUUAGGAGAAUUCAGUUGCAUAAAUAACUAGUUGAAUCCAUAUAUUCAAUAUCCAUUAACGAUUAUCAUCAAAUUCACAACUCAUUGAUACAUUCCAGAAAAGGUUAAUAAAUAACAUGAAGAUCAA